rnacentral:rRNA from 1 species
GACGAACCGAGCGAACGUUAUUCGGAAUCACUGGGCUUAAAGGGCGCGUAGGCGGGCCGUCAAGUCGAGGGUGAAAUCCCCCAGCUCAACUGGGGAAGUGCCUCCGAUACUGGCGGCCUCGAGGGGGAUAGGGGCAUGCGGAACUUCCGGUGGAGCGGUGAAAUGCGUUGAGAUCGGAAGGAACGCCCGUGGCGAAAGCGAGGUCCUGGACGUUUUCUGACGCUGAGACGCGAAAGCCAGGGGAGCGAACGGG